ACGCUGGCGGCAGGCCUAACACAUGCAAGUCGAGCGGUAGAGAGAAGCUUGCUUCUCUUGAGGGCGGCGGACGGGUGAGUAAUGCCUAGGAAUCUGCCUGGUAGUGGGGGAUAACGUUCGGAAACGGACGCUAAUACCGCAUACGUCCUACGGGAGAAAGCAGGGGACCUUCGGGCCUUGCGCUAUCAGAUGAGCCUAGGUCGGAUUAGCUAGUUGGUGGGGUAAUGGCUCACCAAGGCGACGAUCCGUAACUGGUCUGAGAGGAUGAUCAGUCACACUGGAACUGAGACACGGUCCAGACUCCUACGGGAGGCAGCAGUGGGGAAUAUUGGACAAUGGGCGAAAGCCUGAUCCAGCCAUGCCGCGUGUGUGAAGAAGGUCUUCGGAUUGUAAAGCACUUUAAGUUGGGAGGAAGGGCAGUAAAUUAAUACUUUGCUGUUUUGACGUUACCGACAGAAUAAGCACCGGCUAACUCUGUGCCAGCAGCCGCGGUAAUACAGAGGGUGCAAGCGUUAAUCGGAAUUACUGGGCGUAAAGCGCGCGUAGGUGGUUCGUUAAGUUGGAUGUGAAAUCCCCGGGCUCAACCUGGGAACUGCAUUCAAAACUGACGAGCUAGAGUAUGGUAGAGGGUGGUGGAAUUUCCUGUGUAGCGGUGAAAUGCGUAGAUAUAGGAAGGAACACCAGUGGCGAAGGCGACCACCUGGCCUGAUACUGACACUGAGGUGCGAAAGCGUGGGGAGCAAAC
rnacentral:rRNA from 1 species